CACGCGGUAAGGUGGGCAUGGCUGCGGGCUGUGCCGCGGCCCCAGCGCGGUUCCGGGUACGCCGCGGCGCCUUCCCUGCGCUUGGCCGUGCGGGACGAUCGCUCGCGGCGCCGCUCGCGUAGUACUCGAGGGUGGAGCUGGCGGGUAUGAUGGAGAGGAUGUUUUCAGUUGUGUCCAGUACAUUGUGCAUUAAGCACUUCAUGGAAGCAGUAUCACAUGCAGAAGAAUACUUGGUACACACAAGUGGAUUUUCCUGAAAGCUCUAGUGCAUGAACAGUUUCUAGUAAUGGGAAUGUGAGGCAUCCUGAAGAUUUCCUGGCAACAGGAAUUAUAACAGGUAGAGGAAAGUAGUCCAAAAUGAAGGAACUUAACUUUCAGAAGCUUUUAGCUUUUUCAGUGAUAAGCUGGACACUUUGUCAGAGCUGUCUGACAAAUGUGGAUGAUCAGUAACCAGGAAGAAGUGUAACACCUGAAAAGUUUUUGUGGCUUGGAGUGGGAUGCCGUGCUUUACAGCCUGCUGAAACAGCUGCUGCAAUAUAGAUCCUGUUUUCAGAAACUGCAUGUAGACCAAAAUCACUGUCUGCAUAUCUAAAAUAGUGCCUUACUGAAGUAGUGAGCUACUCUCUCUAGGAAGGAUAGCAGCAAUAUUAGUAAAAUGAAUGUUGAGCAUUAAUACAUGGAAAAUCCCCUGAGCAGUUACUCUUUUAAAAUAUGGUACUGAUUACACAUUCUUGCUGAUACUGAAAAUCUGUGAUAACUCAGGACAACAGAGCUCACAUGCAGGCGCUGUAAAGACAAGGGAGAGCAAAACGGGUACACAAAUGCAAACCCAAGAGUCUAUGUUUUGAGGGUGAUGUCAUCCAGGAGAUGGGGGAGAAAGUAUAUAAGGUAAUGGUGUUAUGGAAGCAUAAACCUGAAACGCUUGUAUGAAAGAAAAUGUAAUGUCUACAGAUUGCAUUGCAGUUUGUAUCUGUUGAGGGACCAAGGAGUUGGGGUUUUAUGGAUUGACACUUCAGCGUGGAAAGAUGAGUACCACAGCAGUGGAACUGCUCCUUUAGGAACACAAUAUUAGCUGCUUGCUGUGUGGGGGGAAAGAGACCACAUACAUUAGAACUUGUGCUUUAAGCAGUCACUUAAAAAGUACCAAUGCUGUAUCACAGUAGCAGCAUAUGUGCUGUAUUUGUCAAAUUGUCACUCUUCCACAGAGAAAUAAAGGCUCAUAAAUUGGUCACCAAGUAAGUGGGAUUUUCAGGACAACUAUACAUAAGACUCCAUGUGCCUUAAAAAUGUCAAGCCCAAUUGUCAGAAAUGCUUUAUAAAGGAAGAAACAUAUGAAUGGCAUAAUAACUAAAUACUAAAAGAGCUACAGUGACUGAAUCAUUUUGAAAUGCACCAAAAUACAUAAAAACAACCUUAAAGUCUGCAGCAAAAAGAAACAGCAUUGGGUGCAAGCAGCUCUGUAGAGAACUGGAGAGAUUCCUAUAACUCAUGGAGUGUGCCUGUGAUAAGUGACAAAUACCAUGUAAAGCCCAGUUUUCUGCCUAAGCAGUAUGAACAGGAGCACCACAUGAAGUAUUGAAAUGAAAAAUAAGUAUCCCGUAGGUUACUAAAAUGUAUGCUAAGGAACUGACAAAAUUCCAUGGGUGUAUUGGCUCACUGAGCAUCUCCUAUGAUUUGGUUAUUAAUAAGCAGUGGCCAGCUGCUUUAGGUAAAGGCUGCUUUCAGCAAGCAACUGUAAAUCAGUCUCUUGAAUGUUGGAAUCUGCAGAAAUUUACUACGGAGCAGCUCUCCCUUCAUCUCUUUCAACAGGCUCUCUUUCUGUUAAAUGUUUCUCAGAAUGGUAGGUAUUUCUGUGUGUUGGGUUUUGUUCAUGCUUUCUCUUGAAUAAAGAUGAGGAUAUGAAAAA